rnacentral:lncRNA from 1 species
GAGAAUGUCUGGUUUCCCUUUGGCUAUGCAAGGCCGGAGCAGGGGGACCAGGACGGAGGGCUAGAGGCCUGAAAGCUUCUGGGAAAAUUCACGGCACUGAGAGCAUGAAUCGGCCAGCUUUCUACCGUUUGGAGAGGAGCAUCAACUUCUAGAAACACCGGCGUCGUGAUGGAUGCCCAUCUCUGCUGGUUUGCCAAGGGCGUCCCUGUGUGAGCACUGAAAAUCUGGCAUCCAGGACAGCCUUCAGACCCGGGAAAACUGGGACUGUUGGUCACAUGAGCUCCAUUCCAGUCCUUUUUAGUUCUGAAGCAAAAUUAAUAAGAGUAAGGACCUCUUGCAUCAUCUUCCAGAAUGUUCACCAUCAUCCUACGCAGUCGGAACUGUUAUCAUCUCCAUUUUACACCCGAGGAAACUGAGGCACAGAGAGGGAAGAGGCACCCCUGCACAACAGCAGAGCUGAGUAAAGGGGCUGGGAUUGGGAUUCUGCUGUGCUCUAGGGGGGCCAGAGUCCCCCAACUAAGAAUGGCUUUGUACCUAAGAAAAUUCAGGGUCAGUCCCUUCCUAGCCAGAUGCUUAACUUGGCAUAAAUAACAGCUAUUUGGCCAGGUUACCACGAGGGUUAAUUGAGAAAGUGUCACUGCAGGAGGCCUGACACUGCUUGUCCCUUGGGGGAGGGGGGCAGGGCAAGACCUGGCUGUGCCAAUCGGGUAAGCUGUCCUGAGGCCACCCCUUGCCGGCUGCACCGAGAAGCACCUGGGUACCAGAGCCUCCCCGCCCAGCUGUCCCCUCCACUCCCUUCCCGGGCAGUGAAGGGGGAAGCCACGGGGUGUAGGGAAAAAGAACCCGGGCAAGCCCGCUCCCAGCCCCCGUUCUGCCCUAUUUGCCCUGGGCAUCCUGGCUGCCUCUGGCCGCCACCUUGCUCAGCUGUCGAAUGGGCGCGUGAGCCCACCCCUUGGGGGUCAGGGGCGGGAAGGUGCAGGGACAUCGUGGGAUCCUGCUCCCCCCACCCCUAUCCCCGCUGUCCCUAGAAGCCCCCUCCCCAGGCGGCUCGGAAGGCGGCUCGGGCCUGCGGGUGCUGGGCUGCCGGAGGUGCGGACGUGCGUGCGGUGGGGCCGGGGCAUGAAAGGAAUGCAGGGGCCCGAGACGCGCUGUUCCUUCCGCAGGCCGCGCGUCAGCGCCGGGCAGGAAGGGCCGAGUCGGCAUCGCGUUCCCAGCCGCCCCCUCCGGGCUGGGGAAGUGGCCGAACAAUGGGGCUGCCCGGGGGACCGUGGUGGGGUGUGUGUGUGUGUGUGUGUGUGUGUGUGUGUGUGUGUGCGCGCGCGCGCGUGUCCUGAAGGAGGACAGCUGGGACAACUGGGAGAGGACCCCUUCCUGGGUUCCCGGGGCUUGUUCCCGAAGCCCGGGUGAAGAAAGGCUUUAGCAUCCUCACUGUACAGAAAACAGACACGGGGCGGGGGUGGGGGGCGCCACCCGAAGCAAACCGACUUCCCUGCUGAGGGCAGGGCCUGCUGCUUCUUGCAUCUUCCAGCAGUAGGUUUGGGAUGGAGGCUGGGGCGAGAGCUGAGAGGGGCUGGCUGCUGGUUCUGCAGUUCAGAAAGCGAACUGAGCUCUCCGCGCAGAAGUGAGUUCACCCGCAUCCCGGUUUUACAGGUGGGGCAGCAGAGGCUGAGAGGAGCGUGCCUUCUCAUACUGCCGGCAUGCGUUUAUUGCACCAAAAAGGAUUUAAGCUCCUAAAGAAAGAGAAAGAAUCAUAAUUCAUUCUACCUUUCCUGUCUAAAUGGUACCUCAGUGUAACCAAAUGCUUCAUGAGGGGAAGUUCCUAAUUACAGACUUGUACCUGCUUUAAAAUAUAGGAAAAAAUGAUAGAAUUAGAAACUCAUUGCGCUGCCCCAGUGGAUGAAUUGGGCAGCUACAGGUGCUCAUGUCACAAACAGCUAGACAGUAUGAGCUUCCUGUGGAAGAACAUGCCGCACCCAGGAUGUAGCCUUGCCUUAAACUCAAACCUGAAUCUGCUCAAGCCUGGAGAUUCGAACAAUUUACAGGAAAUACAGGGGACAGAGGAGCAUGGUAAGUGGGCACCUUGGGGAUGCAGGCAGCCAACUUCAGAGGUGGGAAACUCUAUAGAUAUACAGAUGGUUUCUUUUACAGGUAAAUUUCAAGAAGGGGGUGAAGGGAAACAAUCAAUCAAUUAAGCAAUGGAGGGGAAGUCAACAGAGUACAGGAGAUCUAGAGCCAUAUCAACCAAUCACCAGAUAGAGAUCUUUUUUGGGAUUCUGAUCUAAACAAAUUGUAAAACAAAUGAAAAUCAUUUAUGAAAUAAGAAAUCCAAAUAGAUCCCUAGGAAUCAAUCAUCUGGCUGGAGGCUAGUGAUCUAUUUUGAACUGAUGCCCUGAAAUGGGAUUCUGUUUUUUUCUUCUUUUAUUUUUUAAAGUUUUAUUGAAGUAUAGUUGAUUUACAACAUGGUGAUAAUUUCUUUCUUUUUUUUUGUAGGGCCACACCCACGGCAUACGGAGGUUCCCAGGCUAGGGGUCCAAUUGGAACUACAGCUGCCCACCUACGCCAGAGCCACAGCAACAUCAGAUCCGAGCCUCGUCUUUGAUCUACACCACAGCUUAGGGCAACACCAGAUCCUUAAUCCACUGAGUGAGACCAGGGAUCGAACCCACAACCGUAUGGUUCCUAGUUGGAUUUGUUUCCACUGCACCAGGACGGGAACUCCAGCGUUGUGAUAAUUUCUGCUAUACAACACAGUGAUUCAGUUACACAUGUACAGAUCCAUUCUCUUUCAGAUUCUUUCCCCACAGUAGAUGAUCACAGACUAUUGGGUAGAGUUCUCUGUGCUAUACAGCAGGUCCCCAUUGGACAAUCACUCCAUAUACCUCAGUGUGCAUAUGGAAUCCCAAACCCCCAGUCCAUCCCCCCAUCCUGCACCUGUCCCCUUUGGUAACUAAGAGUUUAUUUUCAAAGUCCGUGAGUCUGUUUCUGUUCUGCAAAUAAGACCCAGAUGGGAUUCUUGAGGUCAGACAGCUUUGAGGCUCCUGACUUAAGGUGAAGUAGGAACUGCCCCAGGGCACUAGUUCCUCCCCCGGGCACUCCUGGCAGUAGGGCACUCACUGAGUUUGCGGAAGGAGGGAGAGAGGGGGGAGGAGGAGAGAGAGAGGUCAUUUUCUCUCUUCUGUCCUCUGCACUCAGGGUCAUAUUUUAUUUAUUUAUUUAUUUAUUUUUUGUCUUUUUGCCUUUUCUAGGGCUGCUCCCCCUGGGAACCUCCAUAUGCCACAGGAACGGCCCAAGAAAGGGCAAAAAUAAAUAAAAUAAAUAAAUAAAUAAAUAAAUAAAUAAAUAAAAAUAUCACUCGUGGCUGUGACAGAACAAGUGACCUUGAUGAGCAUGGGGACUACGGCUGUGCCUGGCACUUACUAGACACUCAGUGAAUAUUUUUGAAAGACUGCCCAAAUGCUUACUUGAAAAGGCCCAGGGGUGGAACUGUGGCAAAAAUAGGUCUCUGUCCAUUCAUUCAUUCAGUUAAUAUGGUGGCGCGUGGCGGUUCGUUCCGUGUCAUUUGAUUUUAGUCAGCUGUUUCUUGGAAAAAGGUGAAGGUCCUACCCCGUGUGUGAGGACCUCGGUUGAGAAGGGAAAACAGACAGGUGCACAGCACGGUGCCCCAGGGAGGGAAACAGGACGCUUUCUGCCCCCUUUCAUUUUGGGUGUUUCCUUUUCGAGCCGGUGAUGCUUCCCCUAAAUUCUUGCUGUGGGUUCCUCUUGUGUCUCGGGCAGAAGGGACAGUGGGAAGAGAAAGCAUCUUCGGGCGGAGCUUGGUCUGCCUUUCAGGACCGGUCCUGGGACACGCCUGCUCCUUUUUGUCUGAAACGGAGGACCCACCUUUACCGGAGUAAAGAGUGUCUUGCCGGCUGCCUUUUUCUGACUGUUGACCUGUUUCCACUGUUCUGAGGACAGCCUGAAUGGUGCGGGCACCUUGCGUUCAGAGAUGAACAAAGACAACCUCGGUCCACCUGCACCUCCCGCCUGGUGGACGAGACACAGGGUCCAUAAGCAGCCCAGAAAGAUAAGAGCACUCAGCUGGGGACACGGUGUUGAAACUGCCCUGUAGGGCUCCUGUCUGAGGAUAUUAUACCUUCUAUAUUUUAUUAACUUGUCAGACACAUUCUGACAUCAGUUCCUCAUAUGCAUAGAGUUUUCAUGUCUAUCUUUUCUUUUUUUUAAAAGAAGAUAUUCAGGGAGUUCCCUGGUAGCUUAGUAGGUUAAGGAUCUUGCCUUGUCACUGCUGUGGCUCAGGUUUGAUUCCUGGUCCAGGAACUUCUGCAUGCUGCCAAAGCCACCCCUAAAACAACAACAACAACAUUUUAACUAAAGAUACUCAUUUGUUCAUUCAUAAACAUUUAUCAAGCAUGUGCUAUGUGCCGGGUCCUCAGAGAGACACAGAAAUAAGUAAAGCUUGGCCUUGGAACUUGAGGACCUUGUAGUCCAACCAGAGAGAAAGACAAGUCCAUUACGGAGAGCCCUGAGUAUGUGCUGUAAUGCGGAAUGUAGAGGAGAUACAUUAUUUUUAGUCUAUCUCACAUAUAAUUUUCUCAUUUAGAAUAUAUUAUUACACCCAUAUAUAUUAUAUGUCAUUUUAGUCGCGUAUCUUAUAUAUAUUCUGUUCUCAUCUGGGUUAUAUGUAAUUAUACAUAUUAUUUUUGUUUUUAAAUGUUAUAUUUUCUCUUUUCUUCUCAAAAGAGAUGUUAUAUAUCUACUGUGCCUUUGAGUUUUAUCUUUUUUAACAAUAUAAUCUUUUUUUCCAGAGGUGCCAUUUCCAUGUGAUUUUAAUAGUGGUUCUUUUUCGAUGGAGAAAAUUUAGAAAAUAUAGGAGAAAUAAAUACA